CGGCGGACGGGUGAGUAACGCGUGGGUAACCUACCCUGUACACACGGAUAACAUACCGAAAGGUAUGCUAAUACGGGAUAAUAUAUUUGAGAGGCAUCUCUUAAAUAUCAAAGGUGAGCCAGUACAGGAUGGACCCGCGUCUGAUUAGCUGGUUGGUAAGGUAACGGCUUACCAAGGCGACGAUCAGUAGCCGACCUGAGAGGGUGAUCGGCCACAUUGGAACUGAGACACGGUCCAA
rnacentral:rRNA from 1 species